rnacentral:lncRNA from 1 species
UCUUCAUUUUACUUCAAUUAUCAGUCGAUCUGAUUGUUGACACCAAAGGCAUGAUGCCCAAUUCAGAUAGUUACUAAUGUUAGCUAUCCUACAUCGGUCUGUUACCGACAUGCCAUCACGUUUAUGGAUGGUUAUCUGACAGCUGUCAUCCAGCUCAGCUGUAACUAUCUUUUAGUUGUAUUCUGGCUUAUUUGCCACAUGGACAGCUGUCCCACAAUCUCUACACAGCUAGCCAUUUUGUUACAAC